GUCCCUGUCGAUUAGUGGUUAAAUCAUGACGUUGUGGAUUGGGGUUCGCCUCGUACCAAAACCGUCAAGCCGCCGGCUCGACUCCGGCCAGGGACA